rnacentral:rRNA from 1 species
AAUAGAUACCCGGGUAGUCCACGCCCUAAACGAUGUCAACUAGUUGUUGGGGAUUCAUUUCCUUAGUAACGUAGCUAACGCGUGAAGUUGACCGCCUGGGGAAUACGGUCGCAAGAUUAAAACUCAAAGGAAUUGACGGGGACCCGCACAAGCGGUGGAUGAUGUGGAUUAAUUCGAUGCAACGCGAAAAACCUUACCUACCCUUGACAUGGUCGGAAUCCUGCUGAGAGGCGGGAGUGCUCGAAAGAGAACCGGCGCACAGGUGCUGCAUGGCUGUCGUCAGCUCGUGUCGUGAGAUGUUGGGUUAAGUCCCGCAACGAGCGCAACCCUUGUCCUUAGUUGCUACGCAAGAGCACUCUAAGGAGACUGCCGGUGACAAACCGGAGGAAGGUGGGGAUGACGUCAAGUCCUCAUGGCCCUUAUGGGUAGGGCUUCACACGUCAUACAAUGGUCGGAACAGAGGGUUGCCAAGCCGCGAGGUGGAGCCAAUCCCAGAAAACCGAUCGUAGUCCGGAUCGCAGUCUGCAA